rfam:Camelus ferus unplaced genomic scaffold scaffold41, whole genome shotgun sequence.
GACUGUAUAGCUCAGUGGUAAAGCGCUUGCUUAGCAUGCAUGAGGUCCUGGGUUCAAUCCUCAGUACCUCCA